GCGAAGUCAGUUCAGUCUGUGAUCAGGGAUCGGUGAUGGCACGGUGAGUUCAGCUUGAGUGAAAAUACAGUUUAAUUAAUAGUUAAUUCGUGGUGUUGAUUUUAAUAAUUUGAGUAUCUUGUAUUAUUUGCAGUAUUUUGCCAGAUGCCUGCAGUAGGCACUUCUCAGUGAACACAAUAAUUAUUUGUAAAUAACUUAGCAUUUUUUCUGUACUUGGGUGACAAGACAGUUUUAAAGUCUUCUGAUGAAGAGAAGCCAUUGCACUUACCCUAACAGCACACAUUUUCCUUGUGUUCUUCUUUAAAAAUAGUAUGAAAAUGCCUGUGAAAGCCUUAAUUUACCUUCUUCACUGUAGCAAGAUGAAGGUGAUGCCUCACUUUUAUCGCUAAAUAUAGUUUAAAUGCCAGAAUUUCUCUGAAAUAAAGGUAUAAAAGUGAGAGGAUGAGCAAGUUCUAAAACCAGCUUCUGAAAAUCCCCAGCCAUUCACUGAAUUGUCUCCAUCUUACCUGUUAGCUCAUAUAUUCAAUGAGAUUCUUUGAGUAUGGACUCGGAAUGAGCAAUUGCAUGGCCAUUAACCAUGCUGAAAUACUCCAGGGCAGAUGUAAUGCCUUUUCUUCUAGGUCAUAUUUCCAUAUUGUAUUUCAGUUGCCUGACUCUAACCAAAUGCCCAUUGUAUUUUACUCUACUGGGGGCUAAAUUCUGUGAAUUUAGUGAAGUUAUGACUUCAUAAUUUUUGUCCUACAUGCAUACAGAUGGCAGAGGUGCCUUGUUAUGUACAAACAGAACAUUAUCCACAAAAUAGUUUGUGUCCUGGCUGCUGUGCACCACACUGCUGAGAGUAACACCUACCAGUCAGUGAGAUUAUUUAUCAACAUUCCUGAACAUUUUAUAGUAGAAUGGGAUAUACAGAAACUAAAAAAGGCUAAAAAAUGAAAAGCAGAGUGCAGCUCUGGGUGUUUGGUUUACAUCACGAUGGUGGCAUACAGAUGAGGACUGGCUAUCAAUCCUGUUAACACCCAUUUCACAGAGCUGCUGUUACCAAAGGUUUCUAAAAUAGCAAAGUCCAUAAUGGCCAGUUGUAUUGUACUCCUAAGAAGAGGCAAUUGGGGAAGGAAUUUCUGUGGAUUGCUUGGACACAAGUGACCUUGAGGAUGGUUUGUCCUGUGCAAGAGCAAUCAGCUGCGAUAGCAUCAGCCAGUCCAGAAAGCAAAGUGAGGGGCAUGUCUUGGGGGGGAUGACCUGUCCAGAUUUCCAAGGGGUGUCUAAGCUACAAUGGAUCCAGCAUUCUGCCUCAACUGUGUUUGAAAUGCACAGCCAGAAGUCAAAUUGAGUAAAAAAAAAAAAAAUUAUUUCAUUAAUAAAAAGAAGAAAAAGAGUAAGGAGUAGGUGGCUUUUUUAACAGAUAUUGGGGAGAAACCCUGGAAAAAGGCAAGAACCCUUUCCAAACUAGAGCAGCUACAUCACAAAACUGAAGAGUUUGAGUCAAGCUAAUUCUGUCCAUGAAGAAAAUGCUGUGAACAAAAUACUUCUGUUCAUCAGAAGGUAUUGCUGCUACCCUUGAUUCAGAUCAAGGUCUAAAUCCUGAAAUUGUUUGUUACUCUGAGCACAUGAAGAGGCCCCACAGGAACUAUUCACAUGUGAAAAGAGCUAGGACCAGAGCCAAAGUUUUGCAUACUGUGAAGGUCAAGCUUGCUUGCUUUCUGAAACUUGCACUUAACAGACAAACUCUCAGAACUAUGGUUUCCAUAGAGCACCUUCAGCUCGUUCCUCAGGAUGCUGUGAGCACCGUGGCUGAUUAAGAGCAAUUUGUGUCCUAGCAGGUCCCUGAGACUUUGGGGCCAGCUGCCUUGCAGAGCAGGGACUGCCCCUGCCUUCCCCUGAUUGCAAUUAUUGUGCUCCUUCUUCCCACAGUUGCCAGGUUUUUUUAUUAACUUCUCAAAAUGUAAGAGUCUCCCAGAUAUUAUACAACUCCUGGCUUUACAGUCAUGGAAAAACCUGUUAAUAAAAAUGCACUGCCUGUAGGACGAAUUCUCAGCAUUUUUGCAAAGGUCACGUAAAAUAUAUUGCUUGAGUAGCCUUACAUUGGUCGCCAGAUAAGUCAUUGAGAGGCCACAUGAUGACAGCUGCAAAGAAAGAUUGUAAUUCACUUUUAUGUCUCUAUGCAAGAAAAUAAGAGGCACAAGCCUUCCCUUCGGUGCUGGGGAUGCGGGCUGUGUGGAGACUGGUGCAGGGAACAAAAAGGAGCUGCUUUCACCAGGCUGACAGAUAAGGUUGGAGGUCUUUCUCUGCUGAAGGCCUCACAGAGUUCUGCUUUGUUUCUUCUUUGCUGUCAGAACAACAGAGAAACUCAGAGAACAAAUUGCAACCACAUCAUACCACGUCUUCUGGCUAGGAUUUUGCCUCAGUCCCAAAUAUGACUCUUAUUCUCCAUGUACUUGUGUCAACAACAAUUUCUUUGUCUCCUUUUUCCACAUCCCCAUUUAGUGGAAAUGUAAAAUGAAUCCACUCAGGUUUUUGAGCACUAGCCCAGAUUUUUCCAUUAUUGAGCCCACUUCUCAAUAAUGGAAAUUCCCAAGUUUUACCUUUUCUGGGAGAAAUGGUAAAACUCCUUUACCCUGUGCUCCAUCAAUGCCAGUUGAUCCUGUAUUUGGAUUUUCUAAUAACACAAACAGUGGGUCUGGGUCUCUUAGACUCCAACCCUUUGCAGUGCUCUAUAAUUGCAGUGGCUGAUCUUUUUUCUAAACUAUUUGUGGAAAUAUUAUUUUUUGGCCAAGAAACUGGCAUAGCAUCAGGUCAAAUCACUUUAUGUCAAACACAACAAUAACUAGAAAUGACACAAGUGUAUAAAAAAAGAAACCCUGGAGCCACAAAUCGAGAUGAACAAUUGUCACAUGUCUAUGUGACACCCUACUCCUUCCAUUCCGGGACUGGAGACAUUAUACACCUAUUGCUGAUAGGGAGGAAGUUUGGACUGCAUUAUUUCUAGAAGGGUCUCCAAUUCUAAAUACACAGAUUUUUGAGGGAGAGCCAGGCACCAGUGGUGGUUAUCAUCUCACAGAGGUGUUGCCAGAACCAUUAAAACACAGAGCUCUGCAAGUCUCGUACGUAACAGCGGGAGGUAGAACAAACUAAUUUUAUUAUCAACUCGGCUGUCAAGUGACAAUGUUUUUUAAAUGCCAUGAAUUAUGUAUAAAAUACAUUAAUUUUUAUGCUCUGCUUGGAGAGUUGCUGUACUCACACCCAAAGGGCAGGGGCUGUGCCUGGCAGGGCAGGGGCAACUCGUGCUCCCAGCUCCCUGCUGCAGCCAGCAGCAAUGAUAUCCAUGACAAUACAGGUGGCAGCUUAAAAUGACUCGAAUAAGAUCAAAAUCAGACACAGUCUUCCAGCUAGGAAUUAAUGAAAUACCUGUCCUUGAUAACAGCAAACUGAGUAAUAGGAAUCUGCAGAAACUGUUCAUUUAAAUACAUUUUGUAGACGUAACAAGUUGCACUGUGCUGUUCUUUGCAUCUUUAAGAGUGUCUGGGGAUUUAUGUCUUGCAAAAUAGAAACAAACUAAGAAAACUGAAAUAUAUUGUGUCUUUAGCUGUACUUUACAGCACAGCUUGUGUUUAAGAAGCAGUCUAGACAUGUAAAAAUGCUAGAAUAAACAAUAUUUUUUUUCAUUAUUUUAAAUUAGCUUCUACUGGAAAGCUAUAAAUUUCAGAAUGAUGCACACUAACAGGAUUGCAUAUCUAUUCAAAUAUUCCAAACAAAAGAUACUAAAAGGCUAUUCUGUUACCUGCCACAAUAAAAAUAAAUUUCCUUCCAACUUAAUGCAAUUACAAGUGAUUUCCUGUAAAAGAAAAAAUAAACCUUCAGGAUAUUUUGCAGGAUAUUUUACUUACUAGCAAGAAAAGUCACAUCCUUUUGUUUUUUCUCCCCCUCCUUAUUUUAGUGGCUUGUUUAACCUAUUUUAACAUAUAAAUAUUAUUAAAUACUAUUUAAUAUUCAUUAUAGAGCUCCAAAUACUGGUUGGUCUUAAAUAAAUAUGGUUUUUUUUCAUUCUCUUUCAGCUGAAUUGCGUGUGCAAUUAAAGAAUAAUCAGCUAGAGUCAUGGCUGAGGUUUUGAAUUUAUGACCACUGGGGUAAAAAAGAGCUGUUUCCUCUGUAGAAAUGACAGAAGUGACCAUGCCAAGGCACAGAAUUUUUCUCCUUGUGACUGUGCAGGCCAAUAACAAAGCAGCAAAGGAGUCUCUCUGGAAAUGCAGUUUGAGAAGUGAGAAGCCUACACAAGAAAGGAGCAGCGAUGUCCUGGUGCCCUUUGAUUACGUCAGAGGCAGAGCGCUGUGCACGGAGCUGGGACGGGAACACUUCAGUGCUUGGUGUCACCUGGGACCUGGAUCUCACCUGAGGCUGUGGCAGAGAGACAGGAAAACAAAGAGAGAAUUCUGGCUGGGCUGGUGAGAAGAUCCCCGUGAGGGGCUGAGCUGAAGGUGUGCGAGGAGGAGGAAGCAGAGAAGCCAGCCGUGAGCAGCACCGCUCGCCUCUGCUGCCGAACGAGCUCUUCUGCAAAAUGCCAAGGAACAUCCUCAUCAUCCCAAGCCAUUUUCAAAAUGAUUGCUAAUAUGGCUCAAUUAUGCUUUCUCUCCCUGCACCCAUGUGUUUAAAUGUGAAGGAAAAUGGUGAGAGUGGCUGCUGAAGAUGCCUGAUAGUGCAUAUUUGCUUGGAAGUAUAUUUUCAUAUCAAGCAAAUGUCAGAGCAAACACCUGCAAUCUGCAUUGCUGGUAACUAUAAGAAACAAAUGUAAGUUGGUUCACCACCACCGCUGAA